UACGUAGGUCGCAAGCGUUGUCCGGAUUUACUGGGCGUAAAGAGCGCGCAGGCGGCUGGUCAAGUCCGAUGUGAAAUCUCCCGGCUCAACUGGGAAACUGCAUCGGAAACUGAUCGGCUUGAAGAUGGGAGAGGGUAGUGGAAUUCCCGGUGUAGUGGUGAAAUGCGUAGAUAUCGGGAGGAACACCAGUGGCGAAGGCGACUACCUGGCCCAUUCUUGACGCUGAGGCGCGAAAGCUAGGGGAGCGAACGAG
rnacentral:rRNA from 1 species